CCCUUAGAUGUUCUGGGCUGCACGCGCGCUACACUGAAGCUAUCAACACGUUUUCCCUCCCUGAGAAGGGCGGGUAACCUUUUGAAUCAGCUUCGUGGUAGGGAUCGGGGCUUGCAAUUGUUCCCCGUGAACCAGGAAUUCCUAGUAGACGCGAGUCAUAAGCUCGCAUCGAUUAAGACCCUGCCCUUUGUACACACCGCCCGUCGCUACUACCGAUUGAACGUUUUAGUGAGGCAUUUGGACCGACGCAUCUCAGUUUAACCGCUGGUUUGUGUUGGAAAGACUUCCAAACUUGAGCGUUUAGAGGAAGUAAAAGUCGUAACA
rnacentral:rRNA from 1 species